GAUGAAGAACGUAGCGAAAUGCGAUAAGUAAUGUGAAUUGCAGAAUUCAGUGAAUCAUCGAAUCUUUGAACGCACAUUGCGCCCGUCAGUAUUCUGGCGGGCAUGCCUGUUCGAGCGUCAUUACGCCCCUCAAGUCCCCUGUGGACUUGGUGUUGGGGAUCGGCGAGGCUGGUUUUCCAGCACAGCCGUCCCUUAAAUUAAUUGGCGGUCUCGCCGUGGCCCUCCUCUGCGCAGUAGUAAAACACUCGCAACAGGAGCCCGGCGCGGUCCACUGCCGUAAAACCCCCCAACUUUUUAUAGUUGACCUCGAAUCAGGUAGGACUACCCGCUGAACUUAAGCAUAUCAAUAAGCGGAG
rnacentral:misc_RNA from 1 species